rnacentral:rRNA from 1 species
GUUGAACGCUGGCGGCAUGCCUUACACAUGCAAGUCGAACGGUAACAGGUCUUCGGAUGCUGACGAGUGGCGAACGGGUGAGUAAUACAUCGGAACGUGCCUAGUAGUGGGGGAUAUCUACUCGAAAGAGUGGCUAAUACCGCAUGAGAUCUACGGAUGAAAGCAGGGGAUCGCAAGACCUUGUGCUACUAGAGCGGCCGAUAGCAGAUUAGGUAGUUGGUGGGAUAAAAGCUUACCAAGCCGACGAUCUGUAGCUGGUCUGAGAGGACGAUCAGCCACACUGGGACUGGGACACGGCACAGACUCCUACGGGAGGCAGCAGUGGGGAAUUUUGGACAAUGGGCGCAAGCCUGAUCCAGCAAUGCCGCGUGCAGGAUGAAGGCCUUCGGGUUGUAAACUGCUUUUGUACGGAACGAAAAGCCCCGGGUUAAUACCCUGGGGUCAUGACGGUACCGUAAGAAUAAGCACCGGCUAACUACGUGCCAGCAGCCGCCGUAA